rnacentral:rRNA from 1 species
UGGAUCCUGAGUACGGCGGAACACGUGAAAUUCCGUCGGAAUCCGGGAGGACCAUCUCCCAAGGCUAAAUACUCCCUAGUGACCGAUAGUGAACCAGUACCGUGAGGGAAAGGUGAAAAGCACCCCGGAAGGGGAGUGAAACAGUUCCUGAAACCGUGUGCCUACAAGUAGUUAGAGCCCGUUAAUGGGUGAUAGCGUGCCUUUUGUAGAAUGAACCGGCGAGUUACGAUUUGUUGCAAGGUUAAGCGGAAAAAGCGGAGCCGUAGCGAAAGCGAGUCUGAAUAGGGCGCAUAAGUAACAGGUCGUAGACCCGAAACCAGGUGAUCUACCCAUGUCCAGGAUGAAGGUAAGGUAAUACUUACUGGAGGUCCGAACCCACGCACGUUGAAAAGUGCGGGGAUGAGGUGUGGGUAGCGGAGAAAUUCCAAUCGAACUUGGAGAUAGCUGGUUCUCUCCGAAAUAGCUUUAGGGCUAGCCUCGAGGUAAAGAGUCAUGGAGGUAGAGCACUGUUUGGACUAGGGGCCCUUCUCGGGUUACCGAAUUCAGAUAAACUCCGAAUGCCAUGUACUUAUACUCGGGAGUCAGACUGCGAGUGAUAAGAUCCGUAGUCGAAAGGGAAACAGCCCAGACCACCAGUUAAGGUCCCCAAAUAUAUGUUAAGUGGAAAAGGAUGUGGGGUUGCUUAGACAACCAGGAUGUUGGCUUAGAAGCAGCCACCAUUGAAAGAGUGCGUAAUAGCUCACUGGUCGAGUGACCCCGCGCCGAAAAUGUACCGGGGCUAAACAUAUUACCGAAACUGUGGAUGAACCUCUUUAGAGGUUCGUGGUAGGAGAGCGUUCUAAGGGCGGUGAAGUCAGACCGGAAGGACUGGUGGAGCGCUUAGAAGUGAGAAUGCCGGUAUGAGUAGCGAAAGAAGGGUGAGAAUCCCUUCCACCGAAUAUCUAAGGUUUCCUGAGGAAGGCUCGUCCGCUCAGGGUUAGUCGGGACCUAAGCCGAGGCCGAUAGGCGUAGGCGAUGGACAACAGGUAGAGAUUCCUGUACCAGUGCUAAUUGUUUAACCGAUGGGGUGACACAGAAGGAUAGGGAAUCGCACGAAUGGAAAUGUGCGUCCAAGCAGUGAGUGUGAGAAGUAGGCAAAUCCGCUUCUCGCGAAGCAUGAGCUGUGAUGGGGAAGGAAAUUAAGUACGGAAGUUCCUGAUUUCACGCUGUCAAGAAAAGCCUCUAGGAAGAGUAGUACUGCCCGUACCGCAAACCGACACAGGUAGAUGAGGAGAGAAUCCUAAGGUGAGCGAGAGAACUCUCGUUAAGGAACUCGGCAAAAUGACCCCGUAACUUCGGGAGAAGGGGUGCUCUAUUAGGGUGCAAGCCCGAGAGAGCCGCAGUGAAUAGGCCCAGGCGACUGUUUAGCAAAAACACAGGUCUCUGCAAAACCGUAAGGUGACGUAUAGGGGCUGACGCCUGCCCGGUGCUGGAAGGUUAAGAGGAGUGCUUAGCUUCGGCGAAGGUACGAAUUGAAGCCCCAGUAAACGGCGGCCGUAACUAUAACGGUCCUAAGGUAGCGAAAUUCCUUGUCGGGUAAGUUCCGACCCGCACGAAAGGCGCAACGAUCUGGGCACUGUCUCAACGAGAGACUCGGUGAAAUUAUAGUACCUGUGAAGAUGCAGGUUACCCGCGACAGGACGGAAAGACCCCGUGGAGCUUUACUGCAACCUGAUAUGGAAUGUUUGUACCGCUUGUACAGGAUAGGUAGGAGCCGAAGAGACGUGUGCGCUAGCAUACGAGGAGGCAAUGGUGGGAUACUACCCUGGCUGUAUGACCAUUCUAACCCGCCACGCUUAGCGCGUGGGGAGACAGUGUCAGGUGGGCAGUUUGACUGGGGCGGUCGCCUCCUAAAGAGUAACGGAGGCGCCCAAAGGUUCCCUCAGAAUGGAUGGAAAUCAUUCGCAGAGUGUAAAGGCACAAGGGAGCUUGACUGCGAGACUGACAAGUCGAGCAGGGACGAAAGUCGGGCUUAGUGAUCCGGUGGUUCCGCAUGGAAGGGCCAUCGCUCAACGGAUAAAAGCUACCCCGGGGAUAACAGGCUUAUCUCCCCCAAGAGUCCACAUCGACGGGGAGGUUUGGCACCUCGAUGUCGGCUCGUCGCAUCCUGGGGCUGUAGUCGGUCCCAAGGGUUGGGCUGUUCGCCCAUUAAAGCGGCACGCGAGCUGGGUUCAGAACGUCGUGAGACAGUUCGGUCCCUAUCCGUCGCGGGCGCAGGAAAUUUGAGAGGAGCUGUCCUUAGUACGAGAGGACCGGGAUGGACACACCGCUGGUGUACCAGUUGUUCCGCCAGGAGCAUCGCUGGGUAGCUAUGUGUGGCAGGGAUAAACGCUGAAAGCAUCUAAGCGUGAAGCCCCCCUCAAGAUGAGAUUUCCCAUUUCUUCGGAAAGUAAGAUCCCUGAAAGAUGAUCAGGUAGAUAGGUUUGGAGUGGAAGUGUAGCGAUACAUGGAGCGGACAAAUACUAAUCGAUCGAGGACUUAACCAAAA